UACGGAGGGUGCAAACGUUGCUCGGAAUCAUUGGGCGUAAAGCGCACGUAGGCGGUUCGGUAAGUCGGGUGUGAAAGCCCUCGGCUCAACUGAGGAAGUGCAUUCGAAACUACCGGACUUGAGUAUGGAAGAGGGUCGCGGAAUUCCCGGUGUAGAGGUGAAAUUCGUAGAUAUCGGGAGGAACACCAGUGGCGAAGGCGGCGACCUGGGCCAAUACUGACGCUGAGGUGCGAAAGCGUGGGGAGCAAACAGG
rnacentral:rRNA from 1 species